UCCAACACACAACCGCACAAGCACUCUACCUCCAUUGCCAAAACCGCGGCUCCACCUCCACUUUUCUUCACAAUCCAACUUCUCACCUCAGCUCCACAACACCAUUUCCCUUUCGGAUCAGCAGCUGGAGCAAGGUAGGAGAGCUGAAAUCCGCAAGCUACACCCAGUUUUCCAGCCGCAACAACCACCACAGCUCCACCAUCUGCUCAGCCAAGACAACCCCAAACCAGUCGCGAGCCUAGGGAAAUAAUUCUGCCCAGAUUUGUUCGUGCGUGAACGGAGCAUUAGCAGAGGGUAUCGUGAGGAAGUGGAACUCGAAUCCCAAUUUGACAUCUGAACUUCACUCUUGGUCUUGAAGUUUGAGAAAUCUGAGCAGUGCUGAUUUCUUUUAAUUUGUACUUGAAUCUUAAGACUGCAGUUUACCGUUGUAUUGUAUUGUGAAUUGAAAAACGUAUUGGUUAUUUUGGAUUGCCACUUGAAGCUGGAAAAUGUUUAAACCCUAAUUAUUAUGUUUGGCUUGUAUGGUUGUAAUCGUGGUGUGUGACAGUAUAUAUCCGGAUUGGUACGACCUUAUACCUUAGAGGUAACGCGUGAGAUGUAUAAGAGCCGUCGACUGGCUAUCUUCUUUACUGCUAUCUCUGAAGUUAAUGUAGAUUUAAGGAUGAUCCUAUCUGGGAAAAGUUGUUUUGUAACAGAUUAGGUUAUUCUUCGGAAGGAUCCGGGUUAGUGUGCGUGCGUGAGUCC